rfam:Fervidicoccus fontis Kam940, complete genome.
CACACGGGUAGGGUCAGGGGCUCGCCCUCCCGUUCCCGAAAUGGGCGAAAUGCGGGGACCAGCAAUCCCGUGCAUGGGGAAGGGGCACGGCGGGCAGGUCCUGGAUAGCUAUGAAGUCCGCCCUGUGGGGUCGGGGGAAGCGGCCGGCCGUCUGGAGGGACGGUCUGGACCGCUUUUGCCGGGGAAAACAGGCCAGGCCCGGAAGGGAGCAACCUAUCCUCGGACUCCGGCGUUCACAGGUCACCGGGCAGAGCGAUUCCAGGGGAACCGCUGUCGCGCUCCUUUUCUAUGCACGGGAAGCCGUGUG